UGCACUAUAUACCAAACUAAUGGUUUUUGGGUAUGCCCUAACAAUUUCAUUUUAAGAAUUUUCUGCAAAGUGUUAUAAAAAAUGAGAAGAGCAACGAAGCGUUACUCUAUACCAAGUUAAAUAAAGUGAGCAUAUCUUAAGGAAUAUUGUAACGUAUAUACAUAUAUUUGAUUUUUUGCCUGCUAAUGGAAAUGAAAAGAAACAAAAGGG
rnacentral:lncRNA from 1 species